rnacentral:rRNA from 1 species
UACGAAGGGGGCGAGCGUUGUUCGGAUUCACUGGGCUUAAAGGGCGCGUAGGCGGGCGAUCAAGUCAGGGGUGAAAUCUUUCGGCUCAACCGGAAAAGGGCCUUUGAUACUGGUCGCCUCGAGGGAGGUAGGGGCAUGCGGAACUUCCGGUGGAGCGGUGAAAUGCGUAGAUAUCGGAAGGAACGCCGGUGGCGAAAGCGGCGUGCUGGACCUCUUCUGACGCUGAGGCGCGAAAGCCAGGGGAGCGAACGGG